rnacentral:tRNA from 1 species
GCGGCCGUAGUCCAGCUGGUUCAAGACGCCGGCCCGCCACGCCGGCAACGGAGGUUCGAAUCCCCCGGCUGCA